rnacentral:lncRNA from 1 species
CGUAAAUACAGAAAAAUUACAUUUUCACUCAGCAGAAGUCAAAAAACGCAUUGACAUGACGUCGAAAGCUAAGGACUCCAAGCCUGAGAUCUACGAACAUUUAUUCAUAAAAUCUAUUAUUCGUUCACGACCCUCAAUUCUUAAUUGGAAAGAACUACUAAUUCUAACUCGAUUGGACUAACAACUAACAGAUGAAAAUGAAACUAAUUGAAUUCAAAAGAGGAAACUACGUCCAAACCCGGCACGUAGCGCCGGAAUACCCCUAGUACCAAAUAAUCCAAGGAUAAGUCUCCCUGUCAUUCU